rnacentral:rRNA from 1 species
UUCCGCAGUAUUCUAACUGUGCAAAGGUAGCAUAAUCAUUAGUCUUUUAAUUGAAGGCUGGUAUGAACGGUUGGACGAAGUAUAAGCUGUUUCAUAUAAAUUUAUAAUAGAAUUUUAUAUUUUAGUUAAAAAGCUAAAAUAUAUUUAAAAGACGAGAAGACCCUAUAAAUCUUUAUAUUUUGUAUUAUUUAAAUUUUUUAGAUAAUUUUUAUUUUUAUAAUAUAAAGUAUUUUGUUGGGGUGAUGUUAAAAUUUAAUGAACUUUUAAUUUAUAAAAUCAUUAAUUUAUGAUUUGUUGAUCCAUUAAUAAUGAUUAUAAGAUUAAGUUACUUUAGGGAUAACAGCG